GUGAACGCUGGCGGUAGGCCUAACCCAUGCAAGUCGAACGGCAGCACAGUAAGAGCUUGCUCUUACGGGUGGCGAGUGGCGGACGGGUGAGGAAUACAUCGGAAUCUACUUUUUCGUGGGGGAUAACGUAGGGAAACUUACGCUAAUACCGCAUACGACCUACGGGUGAAAGCAGGGGAUCUUCGGACCUUGCGCGAUUGAAUGAGCCGAUGUCGGAUUAGCUAGUUGGCGGGGUAAAGGCCCACCAAGGCGACGAUCCGUAGCUGGUCUGAGAGGAUGAUCAGCCACACUGGAACUGAGGCACGGUCCAGACUCCUACGGGAGGCAGCAGUGGGGAAUAUUGGACAAUGGGCGAAAGCCUGAUCCAGCCAUACCGCGUGGGUGAAGAAGGCCUUCGGGUUGUAAAGCCCUUUUGUUGGGAAAGAAAAGCAGCAGGUUAAUACCCCGCUGUUCUGACGGUACCCAAAGAAUAAGCACCGGCUAACUUCGUG
rnacentral:rRNA from 1 species